ACAUAAAGAUAGACAAAUCAAUAUAUUAGAGAAAUAUUCCGUACCAUGCCAUAGGCCAUAGAGGCGGUCACAAAAGACAAUACUGGGUUUGGUAUUGCACAACGCAACACUAUCAGUAUGAAUGGAGACCACACUGAAUACUAAAUGUAACUCACUCACAUUGUUUGAUAAAUAAAGACAGAUAGAAACAUAAUGGUUUGAGAAGUUAGUAUGUUUGGAAUAUUGACGAAUCUCAUUUUGUCAUGUGAACCUGUGGAAAAUGUUUGUCUCUUAAUUACAAAAUACGGUGAUUCAAAACUAGAUCUAGAAUGUUCAUUUUGUGUCUGUCUGUAUGUGCAAGUUUACAGGUUGUACGAAGGCUUUACAUUACGGCAGCGGAACUCGGCAAUUUGUCAUGCGGCUUUAUGAUUACUGGCACGAGAAGGACAAAGUCGUGGUUGCGGAACGUACCGGAGUGGACCGGGAAUGCAUCCAGGAAAACCGGCAACUCAAGUUGUUAUAGAUAACCUUUAGCAAUUUGCUAUCUUUUAUUGCUCUCUCAAGACCAAUAGCUGAUCAAAUGGGUUUUACCAUUUUGAAAUGUAUUUUUCCGACUGAUUAUACCAGUAACAAUAAAGGUUACAAUGAG